UACGUAGGGCGCAAGCGUUAUCCGGAAUUAUUGGGCGUAAAGAGCUCGUAGGCGGUUUGUCGCGUCUGCCGUGAAAGUCCGGGGCUCAACUCCGGAUCUGCGGUGGGUACGGGCAGACUAGAGUGAUGUAGGGGAGACUGGAAUUCCUGGUGUAGCGGUGAAAUGCGCAGAUAUCAGGAGGAACACCGGUGGCGAAGGCGGCCUUCUGGGCCUGUCCUGACGCUGAGGCGCGAAAGCUGGGGGAGCGAACAGG
rnacentral:rRNA from 1 species